rnacentral:rRNA from 1 species
CCUACGGGUGGCAGCAGUGAGGAAUAUUGGUCAAUGGACGAGAGUCUGAACCAGCCAAGUAGCGUGAAGGAUGACUGCCCUAUGGGUUGUAAACUUCUUUUAUAUGGGAAUAAAACGUUCCACGUGUGGGAUUUUGUAUGUACCAUAUGAAUAAGGAUCGGCUAACUCCGUGCCAGCAGCCGCGGUAAUACGGAGGAUCCGAGCGUUAUCCGGAUUUAUUGGGUUUAAAGGGAGCGUAGGUGGAUUGUUAAGUCAGUUGUGAAAGUUUGCGGCUCAACCGUAAAAUUGCAGUUGAAACUGGCAGUCUUGAGUACAGUAGAGGUGGGCGGAAUUCGUGGUGUAGCGGUGAAAUGCGUAGAUAUCACGAAGAACUCCGAUUGCGAAGGCAGUUCACUGGACUGCAACUGACACUGAGGCUCGAAAGUGUGGGUAUCAAACAGGAUUAGAUACCCCUGUAGUC